rnacentral:rRNA from 1 species
UACGUAUGGUGCAAGCGUUAUCCGGAUUUACUGGGUGUAAAGGGAGCGCAGGCGGCGCGGCAAGUCCGAUGUGAAAACCCCCGGCUCAACCGGGGGACUGCAUUGGAAACUACCGGGCUGGAGUGCCGGAGAGGUAGGCGGAAUUCCUGGUGUAGCGGUGAAAUGCGUAGAUAUUAGGAAGAACACCGGUGGCGAAGGCGACUUUCUGGACUGUAACUGACGUUGAGGCACGAAAGUGUGGGGAGCAAACAGG